GACGAACGCUGGCGGCGUGCUUAACACAUGCAAGUCGAACGGAAAGGCCCUGCUUGCAGGGUACUCGAGUGGCGAACGGGUGAGUAACACGUGGGUGAUCUGCCCUGCACUUCGGGAUAAGCCUGGGAAACUGGGUCUAAUACCGGAUAGGAGCCCUUUUUAGUGUGAUGGUUGGAAAGUUUUUUCGGUGUAGGAUGAGCUCGCGGCCUAUCAGCUUGUUGGUGGGGUAAUGGCCUACCAAGGCGGCGACGGGUAGCCGGCCUGAGAGGGUGGACGGCCACAUUGGGGCUGGGAUACGGCCCAGACUCCUACGGGGGGCAGGAGGGGGGGAUAUUGCACAAUGGGCGGAAGCCUGAUGCAGCGACGCCGCGUGGGGGAUGACGGCCUUCGGGUUGUAAACUCGUUUCGCUAGGGACGAAGCUUUUUGUGACGGUACCUAGAUAAGAAGCACCGGCUAACUACGUG
rnacentral:rRNA from 1 species